GAUGAACGCUGGCGGCGUGCCUAAUACAUGCAAGUCGAGCGAACAGACGAGGAGCUUGCUCCUCUGUCGUUAGCGGCGGAGGGGUGAGUAACACGUGGAUAACCUCCUUAUAAGACUGGGAUAACUUGGGGAAACCGGAGCUAAUACCGGAGAAUAUAUUGAACCGCAUGGUUCAAGAGUGAAAGACGGUUUUGCUGUCACUUAUAGAUGGAUCCGCGCCGCAUUAGCUAGUUGGUAAGGUAGCGGUUUACCAAGGCGACGACGCGUAGCCGACCUGAGAGGGUGAUCGGCCACACGGGAAGUGAGACACGGUCCAGACUCCUACGGGGGGCAACAGUCCGGAAUCUUCCGCAAGGGGCGAAAGCCUGACGGAGCAACGCCGCGUGAGUGAUGAAGGUCUUCGGCUCGUAAAACUCUGUUAUUAGGGAAAAACAAAUGUGUAAGUACCUAUGCACGUCUUGACGGUACCUAAUCAGAAAGCCACGGCUAACUACGUG
rnacentral:rRNA from 1 species